CCUACGGGUGGCUGCAGUGGGGAAUAUUGCACAAUGGGGGAGACCCUGAUGCAGCGACGCCGCGUGAGUGAAGAAGUAUUACAGUAUGUAAAGCUCUAUCAGCAGGGAAGAAAAUGACGGUACCUGAUUAAGAAGCCCCGGCUAACUACGUGCCAGCAGCCGCGGUAAUACGGAGGGGGCAAGCGUAAUCCGGAUUUACUGGGUGUAAAGGGAGCGUAGACGGCAGCACAGGUCUGGAGUGAAAUGCCGGGGCUUAACCCCGGAACUGCUGUGGAAACUGGGCAGCUAGAGUGCAGGAGAGGUAAGUGGAAUUCCUAGUGUAGCGGUGAAAUGCGUAGAUAUUAGGAGGAACACCAGUGGCGAAGGCGGCUUACGGGAGUGCAACUGACGUUGAGGCUCGAAGGCGUGGGGAGCAAACAGGAUUAGAUACCCCGGUAGUC
rnacentral:rRNA from 1 species